rnacentral:rRNA from 1 species
AAAUCAAGCGUUUAAGGGCGUCUGGUGAAUGCCUUGGCACUGAAAGUCGAUGAAGGACGUGAUAUACUGCGAUAAGUUUCGGGGAGUUGUAUGUAAACUUUGAUCCGAAAAUUUCCGAAUGGGAAAACCCAACUCUUUAAGAGUUAUUUCAAACUGAAUACAUAGGUUUGAAAAGGCAACCUAGGGAACUGAAACAUCUAAGUACCUAGAGGAAAAGAAAUCAAUUGAGAUUCCGUCAGUAGUGGCGAGCGAACGCGGAACAGGCCUGUAGUUUUAUUUGUACAACUAGAAAAACCUGGAAAGGUUUGCCAUAGAGGGUGAUAGCCCCGUAAAGGUAAAAGCAAAUAAGAUUCUCGAGUAAAGCGGGACACGUGAAAUCCUGCUUGAAGAUAGGGGGACCACCCUCUAAGCCUAAAUACUCUUCAGUGACCGAUAGUGAACUAGUACCGUGAGGGAAAGGUGAAAAGAACCCCUAUUAGGGGAGUGAAAUAGAACCUGAAACCGGAUGCCUACAAUCAGUCGGAGCUCUAUAUGAGUGACGACGUACCUUUUGUAUAAUGGGUCAGUGACUUUAUCUGUGCAGCAAGCUUAAGCCGAAAAGGUGUAGGCGUAGCGAAAGCGAGUCUGAAUAGGGCGAUGAGUUGUACGGAUAAGAACCCGAAACCUAGUGAUCUAGUUAUGAGCAGGUUGAAGGUAAGGUAACACUUACUGGAGGACCGAACCGGUGCCUGUUGAAAAAGGCUCGGAUGACUUGUGAUUAGGGGUGAAAGGCCAAUCAAACUGGGAGAUAGCUGGUUUUCCGCGAAAACUAUUUAGGUAGUGCGUUGAAUAAUAAGAUCUUGAGGGGUAGAGCACUAAAUAGGCUAGGGGGAAGAAAUUCUUACUAAACCUAAUAAAACUCCGAAUACUCAAGAUUGUUUCUCAAUAGACAGACGGUGGGAGCUAACUUCCAUCGUCGAGAGGGAAAAAACCCAGACCACCAUCUAAGGUCCCAAAAUCGUAGUUAAGUGUGAAAGGAUGUGAAGACUCCAAAACAGCCGGGAGGUUGGCUUAGAAGCAGCCAUCCUUUAAAGAAAGCGUAACAGCUCACCGGUCUAAUUAAGAGACUUUGCGCCGAAGAUGUAACGGGGCUCAAACUACGUACCGAAGUUGUGGAUUUAAAGUGUCUACGGACAUUUUAUCUGGUAGCGGAACGUUCUGUAAGUCUGCGAAGGGAUACCCGCGAGGGGUCCUGGAGAUAUCAGAAGUGCGAAUGCUGACAUAAGUAGCGACAAACAGAGUGAAAGACUCUGUCGCCGAAAAUACAAGGGUUCCUGCGUAAAGUUAAUCUUCGCAGGGUUAGUCGGCCCCUAAGGCGAGGGCGAAAGCCGUAGUCGAUGGGAACAAGGUAAAUAUUCCUUGACCUGAUGGUAGUGACGGAUCUCGUAUAUUGUAAGUUCUUAUUGGAUUGAACUUGCCUUGAAGAGGUCCCAGGAAAUAACUCCAUCAUUAAGACCGUACCCUAAACGGACACACGUGUAUUGGUAGAGAAUACCUAGGCGCUUGAGAGAAUGAUGUUGAAGGAACUCGGCAACUUGCCUCUGUAACUUCGGGAUAAAGAGGGCCUUAUUUUGCGCAAGCAGAGUAAGGUGGCACAAGCCAGGGAGUAUAGCAUAGGAGGGAGACUUUGAAGUGGUGGCGCUAGCUAUCAUGGAGUCGUCAGUGAAAUACCUCUCUUGUUAUUUUUGAUAUCUAACUCCAUGCCGUCAUCCGGCUGGAAGACACUGUAUGGUGGGUAGUUUGACUGGGGCGGUCGCCUCCUAAAGAGUAACGGAGGCGUGCGAAGGUAGGCUCAGAUCGGUCAGAAAUCGAUCGUUGAGUGCAAUGGCAUAAGCCUGCCUGACUGCAAGACUGACAAGUCAAGCAGAGUCGAAAGACGGUCAUAGUGAUCCGGUGGUUCUGAGUGGAAGGGCCAUCGCUCAACGGAUAAAAGGUACGCCGGGGAUAACAGGCUGAUACCCUCCAAGAGUUCAUAUCGACGAGGGUGUUUGGCACCUCGAUGUCGGCUCAUCACAUCCUGGGGCUGGAGCAGGUCCCAAGGGUUUGGCUGUUCGCCAA